rnacentral:lncRNA from 1 species
AAAAGUGAGCACGCAGAUGAAGGCAGACAGUGAUACUGUAGAUACCUCAUCAGACAACGACUGGCAACUCAGAGACUUGGGUUUUUUUUGGGGAAAUUAAGUGUUAUUUAAGUGUUGCUGUAUUGCAGGGUUUCUCACAGAGGUUGGGGACAUGGACAUGGGGUUCAGACAGAUAGUGUUCAUGUGCUUCAUUCCCUUGCUUGUUGCCUUGGGCAAUGGGACAGGCUUGCCCAUGAGACAACCAAGGGAAAAGGUGUGGGAGACUUUGGCAAAGGCAGCGGGUCUGGACAGCAUUUGCCUGACCCAUUCAGAACCAGGGAAACCAUUCUCAACAUGCUUGGUAGGUGUGCCAGUGGAAGAAUGGCCAAUCCCAAAAGGCAUCCCUCCAAAAGUUCUGAAGUCUUUUUCAGAUCCUGUGGAAGGAUGGCAUGUUUGGACACAGUUCCUUCCUGUGGCUCACUUUGAACCUCCAGAAUUGGACAUCUUUGGGUCAACAAAAAUGAAAUUCUGUAUUAAAUUUAACCCAUUGGGAGUGGCAGAAACAGAUAACCACAUAAUAGAUGUCACUCCAAACCAAAUCUUUUAUAGAAAUGCAUCAUCCUGGUGUAAUUACACCAAAAUGAUGAGCAAACAAUCCCUCCAAAAUCCAGCCAUUUUACCAAAGGUAGUGUUUUUAAUCUUCAGGGACAGAAUUUGGCCUGCUAUCCCGGCAAAAAUCAAGGGUGGCCCAUGCAGCAUUGGGGAACUCUCAUUGAUAACCCCUGAUUUGGAAAUUUUAAGGGAGCAGACACGCAGGGAAAAAAGAUCCAUUGAGCAAUACAGUCCAAAUUGUGAUGAUGAAGUUUAUAUCUGGGACAAGGCUCGGAGAAUUCCAGUGGCAAUUUUCUCACCCCAAGCAGCAUCAGGGGUGGCCUUGACACAAUUGGAGCACAUAGCAUGUUGGUUGAGCAAACACACUUAUCCCAUUUCCUCUGCACUGAGUGACAUGUUAACAGAUAUCGACAGUGCAAGACAAGCCACACUUCAGAACAGGGUGGCAAUUGAUUAUUUGCUGCUAUCACAUGGGCAUGGGUGUGAAGAAUUUGAGGGGAUGGGCUGUGUGAACUUUUCUGAUCACUCAAAAUCUACCCAUGAAAAUAUAAAGCAAAUACAAACCAGCAUCAGCAAAUUGAAAGAAGUUACAGGAUCCUGGUGGGAUGAUUUCAUUAACUUUUUUAAUCUCUCACCAUUGUG